GUGAACGUACCUUAUCAUUAUAACCAGGAAUGUUUUGUGUUUCUGAUGGGAAAUACCAAAAUCCUUCGGAGACUGUAGAGCUCAGAGCUCUACAGAACUCCGAAUCCAGCAGACACGGCUGAGGAAAACAGGAGUGUAACAGGAAGAGAAGAGGAGGAAAAGACUGUAAUUUAUCAUUCACUGUUCUAGUGCAGUAGCGAGACCAAAAGAGCACUGCAAGCUUUCACUCAAGCAAAAUUGCUUCUGAGAAAAAUGUGAAAGAAAAGCCUUCCAAGAUAAAGGCUCUCAAAGGAAGGGUACAAUCAAACACACGUUCACAGAACCGCUGAGACACUACGGACACUUUGGACACGCCGAUCAGCCUAUAACGCAUGUCUUUGGACUGGAGGAGGAAACCAGAGUACCCGGAGGAAACCCCUGAAGCACAGGGUGCUCAGUGAGAUUGUCUUGCCCGCGGAUCGCUGCAUCGAUUCACCCAGCACUGUUCUUCCGCUCCAUCUUGUUCUAACCUCGUCUCUAAAUGGUGGAAAACAUCUAAAACACAUCCUCUACAGCCCUGCUUUGAAGCGUUUCACACAAUCACACUCUGGCGUUCGUGUAUCCGUGUUUGAAGCGUCCCCAGGCUCCAGUGGACAGUUAGGACGACGUGGUUGGCACGGUGUGUUGAUGCAGACGGCUUUGUUUAACAACGUGCUUGACCGUGUUUUAUAAUGCUGUUCUCCCCGCUUGAUAAAAUGCUCAGGGCUGAGUCUCCCAAAAACAUCACCAGGUUAAGAUCAUUAACUGGGAGAGAGAGAGAGAGAGAGAGAGAGAGAGUGUUCAAUGUAAGGCACUCUCGACCGUUUAAGUGAGGCUUUUGGGAAACUGGGCUCUGCUCUGUUUAUUGACGCAUUCAGCUGGAGAUGUAGGACUCGUGUUAAUGUCUCACUAGAUAUGUCCACGGCCUCAGCCGAGAGGCUGACACAAUGCACGAAUGGAACCAGUUAAAGUCAGUUAACGCUUGGCCUUAAAAACAAUUUGAUGGUUUUCAGUAUCAGUCUUACAUGUCCUCUUAUGAGUCAGUGUUGACUCAUCCUGCUCUUCGACCCGUGACGAAGCCGGUCUUGACUGCGGCCCUGUUCUCAU
ensembl:lncRNA